UACAAUAUGCAGAAAGCGGCUGAGAAGCCAGUGAUCUCGUUUACCAAGCCAGUUUCCUCUUGUUUUCCUUGCCUUCUUGAAAGAGCAGGCAGAAAAUAGUAAAGACAUUGGUGAGACAGCAGUGAGCAAGACAGACCAGGCCUCCACUUUCAUAAAGUUUAAAAGGCCAAUGAGGGAAGACAAACAAUACACAAGGAAGUAUGAACUACGGCUUGAAGAUGGCAAGGAGUUCACCAGGCAGUCAAAGUGUAAUGUGUUUUGAGGGAGGUAAAUGUACAGAGGUAAGCAGUGAGCAGCGCCCUGAUCCAGAGGGCCUAGAGCUAAUAGGGUCUGGAAGGUAGGAGAGAAUGACAGCUGAUGUGACAGUGGACAGAGGCAGGGGCCUGAUCAAGAAAGGCCUUUCAUGCCAUGCAAAGAGGAGCUGCUGAAGUUCUUGGAGGAGUCCUUUGGCCUAUCUUAAAGAGUCCAACAGGAAAUGAAUCGUAGACAAUUUCAUCUCUGAAGACUAAGCCCUCUAUGCUUCAAGAAGGAGAAACCAUCAACUAAAUAAAUAAAAUCUUAAAAAAAAAAAAAGGAGAAACCAACUUUUACCAUCAAAUUACCUGAACUCCAACCUAGUGGUUGAUCUAGGGUUUCAUGGGUCAUGAAUCCAUCUGCUUAAUUAUCCAGCAAAGCUGUUAAGUGUCAUCUGUGUGCCAGGCAGUCUUCCAGGCACUUUGGAUGCACCUGUGAACCUAUACAUGGAAACCCCUGCCCCCAGACAGCUUGCCAUCUGGCAAGGGAAGACAAUGCUAUUAUAAAUAAGUACAUUAUUUAGUAUUUUAGAAUGUAUAAGUCCUAUAGGAAAAUCAUAAUGAAAUGA